rnacentral:lncRNA from 1 species
GAGAAAUGAGAACAGCUUCACGAAAUUUAUUCAAAACUCAUUUCAUAGAUGGUUGUUCACCUACGGCAUUUAAUUCCUCCCACCUUUGCAAGACAGCUGUACUCAGGGAAAGGCAGGGAACUUGGAACUUAAUAUUCCCCUACUCUGUCACCCCCAGACUGGAAAAAGAAUUCCCUUCCUUUUCCAUGACUUUUUCCUCAUUGAAAGAAGAUAAUGGAAUAUAA